UACAGAGGGGGCAAGCGUUAUUCGGAAUUAUUGGGCGUAAAGGGCGCGUAGGCGGCUUGGCAAGUGGAUGGUGAAAUCCCUCGGCUUAACCGAGGAACUGCCCUCCAAACUGCUUGGCUUGAGUCCGGGAGAGGUGAGUGGAAUUCCCAGUGUAGCGGUGAAAUGCGUAGAUAUUGGGAGGAACACCAGUGGCGAAGGCGGCUCACUGGACCGGUACUGACGCUGAUGCGCGAAAGCGUGGGGAGCAAACGGG
rnacentral:rRNA from 1 species